rnacentral:pre_miRNA from 1 species
AAUAAACUCAUUUUUCGUUUUUUCGUGUCCAACGUUUGACCAUUUGUCUUAUUUAAAAAAUUUGUAAAAAAAUUUAAAAAAAUUAGUCACGUAUAAAGUAUUAUUUAUAUUUUAUCAUUUAGUAAUAAUAAAAAUAUUAAUCAUAAAAAAAUUUAAAUAAAACAGAUGGUCAAACGUUAGACACGGAAAA